rnacentral:rRNA from 1 species
GGUUGAUCCUGCCAGUAGUCAUAUGCUUGUGCUAAAGAUUAAGCCAUGCAAGUCCAAGUAUAAGCUGAUAUACGGUGAAACUGCGAAAGGCUCAUUAAAUCAGUGAUAAUUUACAUGAUGAGGAGGGAUACAUGGAUAACCGUGGUAAUUCUAGAGCUAAUACAUGCGGUGGGUCCCGGUUGGGACUGCAUUUGUUAGAUAAAACCAACACGAGGGCAACCCCCUUGGAGGUGGCGAGUCAUGAUAACUGAGCGGAUCGUAUGGCCGUGAGCUGACGACGCAUCAUUCAAAUU